rnacentral:rRNA from 1 species
UAACUCCGUGCCAGCAGCCGCGGUAAUACGGAGGAUCCGAGCGUUAUCCGGAUUUAUUGGGUUUAAAGGGAGCGUAGAUGGGUUGUUAAGUCAGUUGUGAAAGUUUGCGGCUCAACCGUAAAAUUGCAAUUGAUACUGGCAGUCUUGAGUACAGUUGAGGUAGGCGGAAUUCGUGGUGUAGCGGUGAAAUGCUUAGAUAUCACGAAGAACUCCGAUUGCGAAGGCAGCUUACUAACCUGUAACUGACAUUGAUGCUCGAAAGUGUGGGUAUCAAACAGGAUUAGAUACCCUGGUAGUCCACACGGUAAACGAUGAAUACUCGCUGUAGGCGAUAUACAGUCUGCGGCCAAGCGAAAGCAUUAAGUAUUCCACCUGGGGAGUACGCCGGCAACGGUGAAACUCAAAGGAAUUGACGGGGGCCCGCACAAGCGGAGGAACAUGUGGUUUAAUUCGAUGAUACGCGAGGAACCUUACCCGGGCUUAAAUUGCAACCGAAUAUGGCGGAAACGCUAUAGCUAGCAAUAGCGGUUGUGAAGGUGCUGCAUGGUUGUCGUCAGCUCGUGCCGUGAGGUGUCGGCUUAAGUGCCAUAACGAGCGCAACCCUUGUUGUCAGUUACUAACAGGAUUUGCUGAGGACUCUGACAAGACUGCCAUCGUAAGAUGUGAGGAAGGUGGGGAUGACGUCAAAUCAGCACGGCCCUUACGUCCGGGGCUACACACGUGUUACAAUGGGGGGUACAGAGGGCUGCUACCACGCAAGUGGAUGCCAAUCCCAAAAACCUCUCUCAGUUCGGAUUGAAGUCUGCAACCCGACUUCAUGAAGCUGGAUUCGCUAGUAAUCGCGCAUCAGCCACGGCGCGGUGAAUACGUUCCCGGGCCUUGUACACACCGCCCGUCAAGCCAUGGGAGCCGGGGGUACCUGAAGUGCGUAACCGCGAGGAGCGCCCUAGGGUAAAACUGGUGACUGGGGCUAAGUCGUAACAAGGUAGCCGUACCGGAAGGUGCGGCUG